rfam:Heterocephalus glaber contig151518, whole genome shotgun sequence.
AGGGAUAUAACUCAGUGGUAGAGUGCUUGUUUAACAUGUAUGAAGCCCUGGGUUUAAUCCCUAGUAGCACAA